AUAUGCAUUCCAAGCUAUCCAGGGCUCUUUUUAGGUAGAUUGUGAAGGGGAGCAGACUGGUCUAGGUUAUCUCUUCCAACGACCCCUUUCCAAACAGCACUGCCAACCCUCCAUUCUCUACCUUUAGGACUCCAAAAAAGGGAAAAGAGCAACUCAACACACUGAAGGCCUUUACUUAAUCAACCUAACAACCACAAUGGAUUGUAACUGUCCAGAUUCUGACUAACAAGACACUGCAAUGCUACUGUGAUGUGGCACACAGCUACUUGUCUUAACCCCAUUCUCCUGGUAUGUGCAGGAUGUGUGUGAGUGCUGGAUCAAGGAGGGCCCUCAGCCUCUUCUUAGCGCUCUGGCCACCAGGCUACUGUAUAACAACGCUGGAGGCAUCUCCCUUUCCUCAACUGUCUCGGUUCUUAAAAAAAUAAACAGAAGUACAACAGCAGGUUGAGCAUUUGAGCCCAAAGGAAUGGCUACCUCGCUUAAAGUCAGUCAAAGUAUUGGAAAAUAACAUUAAAAGAUCAAGUAAUCCUGAAGUGUAUCUCUCAAUUGCAAAGAAAUGACUGGAUAAUACUACAAAACUGUGAUCCACAUCAGGACAUUUGAACAAGCACUUUUUCCCAGCAAAAUAUAGAGCUACGUGAGACAGGAUUCAAAGUGUAGGGCAUAAUUGGAAGCCUGGAACUCCUAGUUGCAGCAAUUAGAUCCUCUGUCUUAGUCCCAAAUCAAACAAUAUCCCAUUUAACUGAGAUGUAGUUUUAAAAUAUAUUUAUUUGAAGUGUUUCCUGCUUUCAGUUCUGUGAGAUGACAAAUUAAAGACAACAUAUAUAGGACACAUACUUCUUAAUUUUUUUUUUUUUACAUAAUAGCUGCAUUUCAUGGUGAUAUCUUACAAAAUACCCGGCUUCUUAACUGUUGAUGUGGUCAACCACUGCCACCUAUUGGCUUACCAAUAACACCCACCUGUCAAUUUAUAUAUGUUAAAAAAUGAGGCAAUAUGUAAAAUCAAAGCAGUCGGGACUCAUGUUAAAAUGUAGAAUUUAGGGGAAAUAUCAGAAUGCAACUGGAGUUACAGAAAGGAAAAUCUGUAUCCAAAUAAUAGGAGUAUUUCAACAAAAAUACUCAUUAUUCACGUAGGAUAUUGUUCCCAGUUUAAUACAAAUGUUGUUUCUGAGAGUUCUAAUUUUUGUUUUGUGUAUAAUAUGCUUUCACUGAAACAAAUUUGGAGUCUGGUCCAGAGGUCAGUGAGGUUAAUGGAAAGAUCUGCUAUUCCUGGUGGAUCUUUAAUGAGGUUCUACACUUGUGGUAUGAAUUGAAAUUCAGCACCUGCUAAUAUCUUGCUGACUUCCAUGGAGUUUAUAUUAAAACAUUCAAUCCUUAAAAAAAUAGUAAAUAAAUACCACAUACUCAUGAAAUUUGAUGGGUAUGGUACUGGUGAGAACUCAGAAGCAGAAUUUUAUCUCAUAAUGCACCCUUACAUCCAACCUCAAAUUACACCCUGGGGCCACAGCUGCCCUUCUAUGUUCUUCAAUAGAAAAAAGGAGGUUGCCUAGAACAGUGCAAAUGGUUCCUAGCUUGUAGAUUGUGUGCCUUGCAUCCCUUGGCUCUGUUGUGUGGCAAAUGGUGCAAACACAAAUAUGUUUGCAUCCAGAUACCAACACACAGUGGGAGCUUCAGCAGCACUGUGGCUUGAAGGCAGAAUCUCCAAGGAAGGAGAAUGCAGCAUUCUGCACACUGUGCAAGUGGAAGAAUUCAACAAAAUCUAAUUCUUUCAUUUAAUAAUGCAAACUAGGAAAGCUCUUGAAAACAUGACAAUUUACAAGCAAUUACUGUCAUACAAUUAAAUGAUGUGACAGGAGAAACUGAAGACACAGCACAUUUAGAGACACCAAAAUUAAGUCGGAAAAUUUCCUCUGCAGAACACCAAAGCUUAUUACAACUAAGCAGUGGAAAACAGCAAAGCCUGCAAGGACUAGAAUUUGCAACUAUAAUAAAAAUUAAUGUGAAAGAAAAACUUCUUAUGAAAUCUAAAAGAGGACCUCUGAGUGAGCUGUGCAAAACUGUAGAGCAGAAAAAUGGAGCAGCAUAGUAACAAAGAUGUGCAAAAAUCCUAAUUCAUUCAGAAAAGAUGUGGAAUUACCUAGAAAACAGAAAAAAAGAAAAAAAAAUGCUGUACAAGAGUGGAGAAUGUUUUCAGUAGUUAAGCUGUGCAUACGAAGGAAGCUUCACAAUUUCUUUCUGACAUCCCUAGAGCUUAGGGAAGACAGCUGGGGCACUAACUAAAGCGCGUGAGGUCAGGACACAGUGGCAAUCAAUGUAAUGUCAGAUGCCACAGACAGUCAGACUCCCACCUGAGCUGCAGCUCCAAGAGCUGGAAGCAAACAAUGCAGUGCGUUGCAGGCUUGGAGAAGGCACGAGACAGAGGGGAGCCAUAAAAUAACAAGUGAAAGUAGGAGCCUCACCUGCUUCAUGGCACAGGUCAAAGCAGGCCCCUUAAACAUACCUCAUUUUGAAAAAAUUCCAUUCACUGCCCCUGCCUGACUUUGCACCUGGCAGCACUGCGAAGCCAUAGCCAAGCUCAGCAAGCCCUGUCAGCCUUUGGGAAAGCUGCAUCUUUCUUCUCCAAACUUUAAGUUCCUCAUCCACAAAGUUCUAAAUCUGGAGAAAAAGGGAUGUAGCUUGGGUCAAAACAGAACAGCUAAAAUCGGGUAAAAGCUGAAAAAUGUGACAGUAUAGGCUUAAAGAGAGACAGGUGCUGAUGCUUACUGCCAGGGAAGUAGGCAUGCAACAGUAUAGCAGAAGUUUUCUUUGCAACUAUUUUUUUUUCUUAGUACUAACCAGCGAGGACUAUUAAAUAAUGUCUCAGCACAGUAAGAGCAGCACUUGGAUGUGGCAGGAGCAGUUACCAAAGAAGAAACUAAAGGAUGCUGCCUGCAAGGGAGAGCAGCUGCAAGAGGGCACGAAGCCCAGAGCAAUGGGACUGGUGGAGGGGGGAGGCCAGAAACCCAGCAAUGCUGUCUGAAAAGGAGAAUCUGACUGAUUUCUCCUUCAGCUGGUUCACGUGCCCAUGUGUGGUGCUGCUAGACAGUUGUGCCAGGAGUCAGGGGGCAAGGCCAGGUGGUUCCCAAAUGGGCUCGUUCUGAGGGAUUGUGUGAUGCCUGGGGGGAAGCAGUGAGUGGCACACAUAGGAGGAGGUACUUACCUCACUUCCCUUCUGCCUUCCCAGUCCUCAUGAUUCAGGAAAUGCAAGUGCUUUGUAAUGACAGACACACUGAAGAGUCCAGCCUUCAAUGCCUGGCCGAUAGGGAGCACUGCAACAGGGAGCUACAACUGGGAGUCAUCCGUUCUCAUUUCUUCUUAAUGUUUUAGAAGGUAACAGAGAGCUGCGGGAGAGAGCUGGAGAUUUACAUUGCAUAGGUACAUACUGAACACUGCAGCUGUGCUACCCCAAGCAAACACCAGGAGCAGGUUGUACAGCCCCAUUUUCCAGGCCCUGGCAAUUUGAAAUCUCAUCUCUUCAGCUAUUUGAACAGUCCCAAUGGCUGAUACAUAGCAACAGCAUGGCUCUGGAUUAAAUCAAUAUGGAAAUCCUGCCAUGUCCUAGCAUUUCCUGCUUGAUAGAUCUAGUCUGCAAAGAAGACUUUUUUCUCAAGAUCUGGAUCUCAUAAAGAAUGACUGCAGCUGGUCAGGCACAUCUGUGCAGAAGUGUCUUACUUCUGGAAAUAAGCCUUAGGAGAUGGAUGCUCAUAGAGGAAUUUUAAGAGCAGGUCAAAGACAGAUGUGGCUGGGGCAAUAAGCUGUCCCAAGAGACCAUGCAGUACAUCUCAGUGCCCAGACAGCAGCACAUCAUGUGAGCCCCAGCAGGGGCUCAGGGUCCCCCCAUGUUACCUUGCCAAGCUCCCAGCUACUGGCAUGUUAGCCCUACUCUUCUCUUUUGGCUAAAAGUUUUGGAAGUAAGAGCCUCUCUUUUACACAGAACCUAACUUAUUAAGAUCAGGACAGUGGAGUUUUUUAGUGUUGCACUGGAACAACCACAUUUAAAUUUGAGGUUUCUAAUUCUAUCAAUUUUUAUGCUUUUUUAAUUGAAGCUUCAGAAAGGGGAUAGAGCAGUUGUCCUGAAACACGCUGCCUGUAUUAAAAGCCACCAGAUUUUUUUGUAGUCCUUAUACAUGUCUAUCUGUGACUGUAUCUACCACCUUCAGUAUAUUAAAACCUUAUAUUACAGGUAGCUAAAUAUUAUCAAUGCAUUAUUGCUGGAGCCUGAAAGGAUAUCCUGUCACAAAAUACUCUUACAGCAGAUGAAAAAAUCAAAUAAAUUUCAUUUGUUUCACUUGAAAAAACCUCCUGAUGUAUCUUGAACUGGAAUUGUAGAGCUGGGGAAGGUACCGUGAUGUAGCCUGCACAUCUCUAACUCUUUACAAGUGUACUUCGGGAUAAAAUCUAAACCUCCCUGUAAUACUCUUAUUUCUGCAAUAGCAUUUAACAAAACCUAGGCCAUUCUUCAGUGAUGCUAGAACUACAGCUUUGCAUGUUGUCUUUGGAACGUACAAACUCAGUUCUCACAAGAGGUUCUAGCAGCAAGUUUGAAAACUAUCUAUGACAGUGUGGCUUGAGUUUUCUACAAUUUUUGAAUCCUUAUUUAUUUAUUACUAGACAAAGUAAAUAAAUAAUGUAAAAUUUUGGAGCUUAUAAUUCCAGAUGCUACUUAGAAGGAAAAUGACUGGGUUUCUCAUAAUUUUACUUAUUUCUAAAAACUAAAAAGAAACCCAACAAACUAAAUAGUUUGCUGUUUUUUCUAAAAGAAAAACAACAGAACAACAAAAGAAAAAAUGCAGAACAACUCCUUUGAUCUCAGUUUUGGUCUCCAAAUGCAGAUCCUACCUGGUGAGUGUAUGAAUGAAAAAUGUAGUGUAUGAAUUAAGCAGAAGUUCUCAGUGUUUUCCCUUGCACAUUUGGUAUAUUUGGAGCAAAUCCUCAGCCCACUCCUCGAGCUACAUAAGCCAGUAACUCACAAAAAGAACAGGGGGACGUGAAAAGCAGUUCUUUUCAUACAGCUUAUCAAGUUUAACUAACCAGCAGAAACUUUAAUCCAACUUAGUCUCCAUCCUGGCCCCAAAUGAUCAUUUCCUCUAACAUGAACAAAAGCUUGAGGAUAUGCUCAGCAAAAAUUGUCUACUUCUGGUUCAGAUCUGCCUGCCUUGAUCACAAAAAAAUGUUACAGCCUACAUGAGAUUUAGUCCUACAUCCUCAGGGAGUCAGGUCUCACUUUCUGCUCAACUGUGAUUACAAUAAAGGUGGUUCUGUGGCACAGGAAGAAAGAAAAGUUGGUAUAGAGGCUGAAACCUGAAAAUAGCAAGCUAU